rnacentral:rRNA from 1 species
AGAGUUUGAUCAUGGCUCAGGAUGAACGCUAGCUACAGGCUUAACACAUGCAAGUCGAGGGGCAGCGGGAUUGAAGCUUGCUUCAAUUGCCGGCGACCGGCGCACGGGUGAGUAACGCGUAUCCAACCUUCCGUACACUCAGGGAUAGCCUUUCGAAAGAAAGAUUAAUACCUGAUGGUAUGAUGAAAUUGCACGAUAGCAUCAUUAAAGAUUUAUCGGUGUACGAUGGGGAUGCGUUCCAUUAGGUAGUAGGCGGGGUAACGGCCACCUAGCCUACGAUGGAUAGGGGUUCUGGAGAGGAAGGUCCCCCANAUUGGAACUGGAGACACGGUCCAAACGUCCUACGGGAGGCA